AACACAGCCCGACAUCGGGGUGUCACCAGUCAUGAGCAUCUAUCAAUAUACUACAAGUCUGAAGAGUUUACAUAGUCUAAUACAGAGCUAAAACAGAAAAAAUAAGAUAAGGGGAGAAGCUCUGGGCUGUGAACGCCGGCAACUACCUAGAGAACCACCGAAUCUGCCUGAGCUGGAAGGAUCAACACUCACUAGCGAGACUUGAAGCACCUGAAUCUGCACACGAGGUGCAGAGAGUAAAGUGAGUACUCCAACUCAGUGAGUAAUAAUAAUAAAUACAGACUGAAUAAUAAGAAAUCACGUAAAGCACAUUACAGGCUAUAAGGAAGCAGUAAAAGCUAGUAAAAAUAUGCAAAGUCAACUUAGUUCAGUUUAAGCUUUUUAAAAAUGCCUUUUUAAACAGUUAAGCAAGUAAAAGACAGACAAUUAGGAAAGAUAAAUACAUAAAGAACUAUCCCCUUGGGCACAAUACCAACAAAAUCCGCCCCUCGGGUAACACAUGAAACAACUACCAGCUCCUUGGGCUAUAUCUCACAUCACAAUGGGUGCCCACGCUCACUAGGUGUAUGCAGACUCCUGGAUGGGCCCCUUACGGCCCAAGAACAAUAUCAAGCCAUCUCGUGGCAUCAUCACUAGGCUCUCGGCCUCAUAUCAACAAGCCACCUCAUGGCGUACAAAUCUUAGGCCCUCAGCCUCAUAACCAUAAUCAGGUGUUUCCUCAAAACAUAGGCCCUCGACCUUACUCAAUCAAAAUUCUCACAAGCCACUCGGGCAAUAGUAAAAUAUGAUGCUCAUCCCAAAAUAUCAUUUAAAAUAUCAUUCUAAGUGUUAAAGUAGAGUAAACAUGGCUGAUUAAUGAAAAUAGUAGAAUACAACAUGACUGAGUACAAGUAUAAAGUCAAAACAUUGAGGAAAUAUCAUUAAAAAUCCCCUAAGGGUUCAAAUAGUUGGCACGAGGCCCAAAUAUGACAUUCAACCCAAAACAUGAUGAUAGCAAACAGAUUUCAGUCAAAUACGCGGUAAAACAAUCAUUUGGGAUGGACUAAGUCACAAUUCCCAAUAGUGCACGACCCCACGCUCGUCAUCUAGCGUGUGUGUCACCUCAAUAUAGCACAACGAUGUGCAAUCCAGAGUUUCAUACCCUCAGGACAAAAUUUAAAAUUAUUACUCACCUCUACCCGAUCCAAAACUCUAGCUCGCGAUGCCUUUGCCCCUCGAAUCGGCCUCCGAAUGCUCCAAAUCUAACCAAAAUCAGUGAAAAACCAUCAAAAUAUGCUAAGGGAAUAAAGCCCACUUAAAAAAAAUCAAAUUAC
rnacentral:lncRNA from 1 species